rnacentral:tRNA from 1 species
AGGGCAGUAGCUCAGUGGUAGAGCUCCCGCCUUGUAUGAGGGAGGACCUGGGUUCGGUUCCCGGAUGCUUAC